AAAAUAAAUAUUUUUGAAGCCUAAAAAGGGAACAGGAAAUGAAGAAUUGUGAUAAGCUGAGAAACAAUGAGAUAAAGAAGAAUCUAAGAAUCUAAUGAGAAAACUUCACCACAGACUGGGAAGAUUUCCCUGCAUCCUUUCCUGAUUUUGUUCUGGCCUGUCAGCUCGAAGUGUAGAGCCUUUUUACUCCUGUAUCUGCUCCUGCAGAAUAUGUCAGUGGGUUACAAAAAAAGCAAUAGGAAGACUCCAGUGAGACCUGGAUUUAGUAAUUAUCCCUACACCAAGGAGUACUUCUGCAUCUCUUUAACUCCAAGCAUGUCCUUACAGACUCCAGCCCUGCUCUCAUGCAAAGCAGGUGCUGCAAGGUUAUUGCAAAUCAAGGCUUUGGGUCCUUUCUUCCUUCCAGCACCAUUUCCAAGGAUUUUUAAACCAAAUGUUUGCUGUGAUAAAAGGAACUUUGUUCAGCUCCCUGAAAACCUGGGGAUUUGGUGCUGGCAAGAACACAGGGGUGUGUUUGCUCACAAAAAUCCCCUCAAGCAGCAAAGCUCUGGCAAAACCCCCAGCCCAGCACAUCCCACUCCAUCCCCUCGGCACAGGAUCCUCCCUGAGCCACUCCAUGGCUUUAAUUCAAAACUCCCCAGUCCAGCAGGUAUCAACAGCACUGCUUACCCCAGGGCUUCAUUGCUGUGUUUGUGGGGGAAAACUUCACCUCCCUGUGCCCCAAAUGUCCGUUUAGCACUAAAAUGGUUCUGCAGCUGUGUCAGAGACCUCAGCAGGGCAGAGCCAUGGGUAGAUCAUAAAACACCAGCUCAGCAGGUCUGUCCUUCAUCAUUUCAGUCUCUGCUGAGCCACCUGGGUAAACACCAGCAUUGUUCAGCCCUAAAGAGUGCCCAGCACACGGAUUCAUCCAGCACAGGGGAUGGGGAUUCCCAGGGCUCCAGCCCUGCUGAAAUCCUGAAAUCCAGUUUUACAGCACUCACCAUCAAGGUGUUCAGCUCCAAUUCUUCGUUUUUGUAUCCAGAAUAAACUUGAUGUGGGUACUACAAUCUAAUGAAAUCUCC
rnacentral:lncRNA from 1 species